rnacentral:misc_RNA from 1 species
GAUGAAGAACGUAGCGAAAUGCGAUACGUAAUGUGAAUUGCAGAAUUCAGUGAAUCAUCGAAUCUUUGAACGCAUAUUGCGCUCUCUGGUAUUCCGGAGAGCAUGCUUGUUUGAGUAUCAGUAAACACCUCAACUUCCAUAUCUUUUUUGAGAUGGGAGUUGGACUUGAGUGAUCCCAACGCUUUUCCUCACCGAAAAGUGGCGGGUUACUUGAAAUGCAGGUGCAGCUGGACUUUUCUCUGAGCUAUAAGCAUAUCUAUUUAGUCUGCCUAAAAAACAGAUUAUUACCUUUGCUGCAGCUAACAUAAAGGAGAUUAGUUCUUGUGCUGACUGAUGCAGGAUUCACAAAGACAGGCUUCGGCCGACUUUGUAAACUCGAUCUCAAAUCAAGUAAGACUACCCGCUGAACUUAAGCAUAUCAAUAAGCGGAGGA